rnacentral:rRNA from 1 species
UACGUAGGGGGCAAGCGUUGUCCGGAAUCAUUGGGCGUAAAGCGCGUGUAGGCGGCUCGAUUAGUCCGCUGUGAAAGUCGGGGGCUCAACCCUCGGAUGCCGGUGGAUACUGUCGGGCUUGAGUACGGAAGAGGCGAGUGGAAUUCCUGGUGUAGCGGUGAAAUGCGCAGAUAUCAGGAGGAACACCAAUUGCGAAGGCAGCGCGCUGGGACGUUACUGACGCUGAGACGCGAAAGCGUGGGGAGCGAACAGG